rnacentral:rRNA from 1 species
UACGUAGGGGGCAAGCGUUAUCCGGAUUUACUGGGUGUAAAGGGGGCGCAGGUGGUUUAUUAAGUCUGGUGUAAAAGGCAGUGGCUCAACCAUUGUAUGCAUUGGAAACUGGUAGACUUGAGUGCAGGAGAGGAGAGUGGAAUUCCAUGUGUAGCGGUGAAAUGCGUAGAUAUAUGGAGGAACACCGGUGGCGAAAGCGGCUCUCUGGCCUGUAACUGACACUGAGGCUCGAAAGCGUGGGGAGCAAACAGG